CUCUUUCACUGUUGCUCCACCUCUCAGUGGGCCGUCACCAAGAGGGAGAGGUGGAGGAAGUAUUCAGAUCCUUUACUGAAGUCAAAGUACUAAUACCACACUGUGACAAUACUCCACUACAGGUUGAGCUCAUUUGAACUCCUUUAUAUCCUGUUGGGGAGUUUAAUCUACAGCAAUGCAUCAUGGUCUAUAAGAUCAGCAUAUGUCUGUAGAGUGGCUGUCCUGUGCAGUGGCGUCACACUGGGAGAAAAACGGCCUCUGUUUCCUGUUGGCACCGAGCACCGAUGAUGAUGAUGAUGAUGAUGAUGAUGAUGGAGGUUAACGGCAGGCAGAGCCAGGCACCACGGGCAGCGGCCGGGCUGGACGCCAGCAGCAGGCAGCGGCGAUGCUGAAUCUGACCCAGAAUAAAGAGAGAGGCCGGGGUCAGGCCGGGACACGGCGCUCGGGCCGAUGCCCUCCACAACCUCCGAGCUUGAGUCCGUCUGGGAACGAAGCCAGGAAGCAGAGCUCUGAAUCAGAGAUGGAUGAGCUUCUAUCUGUGGACAUUAAUCAGGUUAUCAGAGUCUGACCACAUGAUGUGAGGGGCUGCUGUCUGCUUCACCACCUGCACAGCCAGUGGUGGAAUCUAACCAAGUGCAUUUACUCAUGUCCUGUAAAAUUUAAAGUACUUGUACGUUACAUGGGGACUUUCUUCUUCUCAGGCCACUUUAUACUUCUACUCCACUACAUCUUAGAAGGAAAAAUCACUACCUUUAUCUGACAGCUUCAGUCACUUUAUAAAUUAAGAUUUUUGCAAUAAAUACAUGAAAAUGUGCAGCUGAAACAAUUAGUUGAUUGACAGAAAAUUAACUGGCAAUUAUUUGAUGGUUGAAGUCAUUUUUCAUGUGAAAACAUUUUAUGGUUCCAGCUUUUCAAAUGUAAAGAUUUACUGCUUUCCUUUUAAUGUUAAUAACUGUAAUGCUGUAGUAAUAAUGUCGAGGUUUUAUGCCAUGGUUGGACAAAAUACACAUUGU